rnacentral:ncRNA from 1 species
CGUUAUGGAAGGACUAGUAAGUAAGCCGUCACAAUGACAGAGAUGGAAUCAGAGGAUAGAAGCAAAUUUUAAUUGCAUUUGUCCAAUGCUGUGAGAUUCCUCAUUGUUGAUUUACUGAACCUGCCUUUAUCAGUCUUAUGCAAAACAUAAGCGUCUUCCGAACGUUAUCUCGGAAUAAGUGAAAUACGGUUGUCCAGGCGGGCGCAGUUAAAGAAUCGUAUUUAAGUUGUGGUGGUACCGCGGAAGUAAACUCUUUCGUCCCUUCU